rnacentral:tRNA from 1 species
GGAGCGUGGCGCAGUCUGGUUAGCGCACUUGUCUGGGGGACAAGGGGUCGGCGGUUCGAAUCCGCCCGCUCCGACCA